rnacentral:lncRNA from 1 species
GAGCUUCCAUAGUUCAUAUUUAUUUAAUUAUGGUUGAUAUUAUUAGUUGUUUUUAUGUCUGUCACUAGUCUUUAACUUUCACAGAAGUCAGGGCCACAUCUUACUAAUUUGUUUUAUCCUGGUAGCUUUGAAUACAUUGCAAAUGACAUGGUAAUUAAUAUUGACACACAAAAUAAAUAGUUUUUGCACAGCAUGAAAAGCAAAAGUUUAGGUUCUCAAACCACAGAAAGAUAUUUUUCAAGACCUAGGUUCAUGUGUCACUUAAUCUGGUCUCCAUACAGAUAGAAUUAAAUAUUGAAAUCUUUUUAUAUCCAUUUAAUCCCUGAAACUUAGUAUAAUUCUUAAUACCAAGUAAGCACUAAAAAAUGUUAGUGGAAGG